rnacentral:tRNA from 2 species
GGGUCGUUAGCUCAAUUGGCAGAGCAUCCGGCUUUUAACCGGAAAGUUCAGAGUUCGAGUCUCUGACGACCCA